AUGUACUCAAUAGAGUAUUUGAUGAAAGGUGCAAUUGCAUCGUCUGAAGAUGAGCCUGCGGUCCAUUAGCUAGUUGGUAGGGUAAAGGCCUACCAAGGCAACGAUGGAUAGCCGGCCUGAGAGGGUGAUCGGCCGCACUGGGACUGAGACACGGCCCAGACUCCUACGGGAGGCAGCAGCUAAGAAUCUUCCGCAAUGGGCGAAAGCCUGACGGAGCGACGCCGCGUGAACGAUGAAGGCCGAAAGGUUGUAAAGUUCUUUUCUUAGGGAAGAAUAAUGCAAAGAGUGGAAAGCUUUGCAGAUGACAUUAACUGAGGAAUAAGCCCCGGCCAAUUACGUGCCAGCAGCCGCGGUAAUACGUAUGGGGCGAGCGUUGUUCGGAAUUAUUGGGCGUAAAGGGCGUGUAGGCGGUUUUAUAAGCCUGGUGUGAAAUACCACAGCUCAACUGUGGAAACGCGCUGGGAACUGUAAGACUAGAGUUCAGGAGGGGAAGCUGGAAUUCCUGGUGUAGGGGUGAAAUCUGUAGAUAUCAGGAAGAACACCGAUGGCGAAGGCAAGCUUCUAGCCAUGGACUGACGCUGAGGCGCGAAAGCGUGGGGAGCGAACAGGAUUAGAUACCCUGGUAGUCCACGCUGUAAACGAUGUGCACUGGGUGUAGGGGGCGUUGAGCUCUCUGUGCCGUAGCUAACGCGUUAAGUGCACCGCCUGGGGAGUAUGCUCGCAAGGGUGAAACUCAA
rnacentral:rRNA from 1 species